rnacentral:rRNA from 1 species
GACGAACGCUGGCGGCGUGCUUAACACAUGCAAGUCGAACGGAAAGGCCCUGCUUUUGUGGGGUGCUCGAGUGGCGAACGGGUGAGUAACACGUGAGUAACCUGCCCUUGACUUUGGGAUAACUUCAGGAAACUGGGGCUAAUACCGGAUAGGAGCUCCUGCUGCAUGGUGGGGGUUGGAAAGUUUCGGCGGUUGGGGAUGGACUAGCGGCUUAUCAGCUUGUUGGUGGGGUAGUGGCUUACCAAGGCUUUGACGGGUAGCCGGCCUGAGAGGGGGACCGGCGUCAUUGGGACUGCGAUACGGCCCAGACUCCUACGGGAGGCAGCAGUGGGGAAUAUUGCACAAUGGGCGGAAGCCUGAUGCAGCAACGCCGCGUGCGGGAUGACGGCCUUCGGGUUGUAAACCGCUUUCGCCUGUGACGAAGCGUGAGUGACGGUAAUGGGUAAAGAAGCACCGGCUAACUACGUG